AGUGAACGCUGGCGGUAGGCCUAACACAUGCAAGUCGAACGGCAGCACAGUAAGAGCUUGCUCUUACGGGUGGCGAGUGGCGGACGGGUGAGGAAUACAUCGGAAUCUACUUUUUCGUGGGGGAUAACGUAGGGAAACUUACGCUAAUACCGCAUACGACCUACGGGUGAAAGCAGGGGAUCUUCGGACCUUGCGCGACUGAAUGAGCCGAUGUCGGAUUAGCUAGUUGGCGGGGUAAAGGCCCACCAAGGUGACGAUCCGUAGCUGGUCUGAGAGGAUGAUCAGCCACACUGGAACUGAGACACGGUCCAGACUCCUACGGGAGGCAGCAGUGGGGAAUAUUGGACAAUGGGCGCAAGCCUGAUCCAGCCAUACCGCGUGGGUGAAGAAGGCCUUCGGGUUGUAAAGCCCUUUUGUUGGGAAAGAAAGGCAGCAGGUUAAUACCCCGCUGUUCUGACGGUACCCAAAGAAUAAGCACCGGCUAACUUCGUG
rnacentral:rRNA from 1 species